UACGUAGGGGGCUAGCGUUGUCCGGAAUCAUUGGGCGUAAAGCGCGCGUAGGCGGCCCGGUAAGUCCGCUGUGAAAGUCAGAGGCUCAACCUUUGAAUGUCAGCGGAUACUGCCGGGCUAGAGUCCGGAAGAGGCGAGUGGAAUUCCUGGUGUAGCGGUGGAAUGCGCAGAUAUCAGGAGGAACACCGAUAGCGAAGGCAGCUCGCUGGGACGGUACUGACGCUAAGGCGCGAAAGCGUGGGGAGCGAACAGG
rnacentral:rRNA from 1 species